UGUUGGGUUCGAAUCAAUUAUAUUAGGAGAAUUACACUUGUUGCGACUUUUUCGAAUAAGUAGACUAAGUACUUGAGUAGAAGAAUUGAUAUUUUAGCCUAUGAUCAUGAUUACAAUUGGAUGGAAUUACCACUCUUGAAUUGGAAAUUUGUUAAGAUUGAUUUUUAUUUACUUUAAUAUUCAGCCUUCAUUAUUUUCUGCUUAUUUAUAAUUUUGAUUCAAACAUUCAAAACCCCCCUUUUAUUUUACUUUGAGAAACUAUUCACAUUGGUUCUCUUGGGAUUCGACCUGGUUUCACUUUUUCUACAAAUUAGUUUAAGAAAAUCAGUAAUUUAUUUUGAAGGGCUUCGACAACCCGUUCAUAUGCACUAAAGAAAAUUAAAUGAAAAGAGCACGCUGCUGUAGGCCUCGGAAACGAUGCACCUUAGGCGCGCGUCGCCCUCUUUUGAGAACCAUCCGUUGGCGGAAGACAUUGUCAGGUGGGGAGUUUGGCUGGGGCGACACAUCUGUUAAAAGAUAACGCAGGUGUCCUAAGAUGAGAUCAACGAGAACAAUGAUCUCGUGUGGAACAAAAGGGUAAAAGCUCAUUUGAUUCUGAUUUCCAGUAUAAAUACGAACCAUGAAAGCAUGGGCUAUCGAUCCUUUAGACCUUCAGAAUUUGAAGCUGGAGGUGUCAGAAAAGUUACCACAAGGAUAACUGGCUUGUGGCAGCCAAACGUUCAUAGCGACGUUGCCUUUUUAUCAUUCGAUGUCGGCUCUUCCUAUCAUUGUGAAGCAAAAUUCACCAAUUGUUGGAUUAUUCACCUACCAAUAGGGAAUAUGAACUAGGUAUAGACCGUUGUGAGAUAGGUUAGUUUUACCCUACUGAUGAUUGUGUUGCAAUGGUAAUUUG
rnacentral:ncRNA from 1 species